UACGUAGGCAGCGAGCGUUGUUCGGAGUUACUGGGCGUAAAGAGUGCGUAGGCGGUUUUCUAAGUUUGGUGUGAAAUCUCCCGGCUCAACUGGGAGGUGCGCCGAAGACUGGAAGGCUUGAGUAUGGGAGAGGUAAGCGGAAUUCCUGGUGUAGCGGUGAAAUGCGUAGAUAUCAGGAGGAACACCUGCGGUGUAGACGGCUUACUGGACCAUAACUGACGCUGAGGCACGAAAGCGUGGGUAGCAAACAGG
rnacentral:rRNA from 1 species